ACCCAGCUGACGAGUCCCAACUGGGACGAAACGCACAUCAUGGAU
rnacentral:hammerhead_ribozyme from 1 species